rnacentral:rRNA from 1 species
CAAGGUUUCCGUAGGGGGACCUGCGGAAGGAUCAUUG